rnacentral:rRNA from 1 species
CUGCAGUCGACGGUAACAGGGAGCUUGCUCCGCUGACGAGUGGCGAACGGGUGAGUAAUAUAUCGGAACGUACCCAGAAGUGGGGGAUAACGUAGCGAAAGUUACGCUAAUACCGCAUACGAUCCACGGAUGAAAGUAGGGGACCUUCGGGCCUUAUGCUUUUGGAACGGCCGAUAUCAGAUUAGCUAGUUGGUGAGGUAAAGGCUCACCAAGGCGACGAUCAGUAGCUGGUCUGAGAGGACGACCAGCCACACUGGAACUGAGACACGGUCCAGACUCCUACGGGAGGCAGCAGUGGGGAAUUUUGGACAAUGGGCGCAAGCCUGAUCCAGCAAUGCCGCGUGAGUGAAGAAGGCCUUCGGGUUGUAAAGCUCUUUUGUCAGGGAAGAAACGGGAGUGGCUAAUAUCCAUUCUUAAUGACGGUACCUGAAGAAUAAGCACCGGCUAACUACGUGCCAGCAGCCGCGGUAAUACGUAGGGUGCAAGCGUUAAUCGGAAUUACUGGGCGUAAAGCGUGCGCAGGCGGUUUUGUAAGUCUGACGUGAAAUCCCCGGGCUCAACCUGGGAAUUGCGUUGGAGACUGCAAGGCUAGAAUCUGGCAGAGGGGGGUAGAAUUCCACGUGUAGCAGUGAAAUGCGUAGAGAUGUGGAGGAACACCGAUGGCGAAGGCAGCCCCCUGGGUCAAGAUUGACGCUCAUGCACGAAAGCGUGGGGAGCAAACAGGAUUAGAUACCCUGGUAGUCCACGCCCUAAACGAUGUCUACUAGUUGUCGGGUUUUAAUUAACUUGGUAACGCAGCUAACGCGUGAAGUAGACCGCCUGGGGGAGUACGGUCGCAAGAUUAAAACUC